rnacentral:miRNA from 2 species
UUACAGUGCCCAUUGAUUAAG